rnacentral:lncRNA from 1 species
CCUAUCAGAUUACACGGCACUUCACGAUGACCAAAAGUGGAGGCACAUUGAUCUUAAUGAGGAGCCAAAGUAUGUAAAUCCAUUAAAUUUUGAAUGAUAUCUUUGCAUUUUCUGGUCAUAUAUCUGCGUUUUGUGUUCAAUUCAAAUUUAGCAAUAUUUUGCUGUGCAUCUCUGGGGUAUAUGUUGUAGUUUUCAGGGUGUGAAUUUUUGUUCUUUUUGUUUUGGGUUAAAUCCUUUUUCUUAGUGCUCUACAUUCGAUAUUAAAUUUUCAGGCAAUGAAGUUCCAAAGUGGUUUAUGUAAGCUCCAGGUUCAGCUGUUGAAACGAACCAAAUUUCCAGGCAAUGGUCUGGUAAUCAAGAGGUGUGUUGAGGCACCAGCAGUUUCUGAGAUUCCAUUUUAAGUUGCAUAAGACAAUACGUUUCUUCUCAAUUGAUGCAUCCAGCAUUUAUCCACAGAUGAACAAAACAGCAAGCCGGAUUUAUCUAAUGCUUUCAUUCCACACAUAUACUUUGUCUAUGAUUCUUCUGUCUCAUUCAUUGGAAUUGAUGUACGUUGGGGAUGAAAUGUAACAGAUUUAUCUAUUUCAUAAUUUCCAAUCAAGGUUUGUUGAAAAUCAUACAUUAAUUGUAAACAGGCGUCCAAAUAUGCCCAAAAUACUUCUUUGAAAGAUUGUGUCUCAUUACACUAGUAAUGUUGCUGGUAUUGGCAAGGUACAAGAAUCCUAGCAUGUCUAAAUCAUGUCUAGUUGCUG